GACGUAGGGACGAGCGUUGUCCGGAUUUAUUGGGCGUAAAGCGCGCGCAGGCGGCCGCGUAAGUCGGAUGUGAAAUCCCGAGGCUCAACCCGGAACUGCAUUCGAUACUGCGUGGCUCGAGGUAGGUAGGGGAGAUCGGAAUUCCUGGUGUAGCGGUGGAAUGCGCAGAUAUCAGGAGGAACACCGGUGGCGAAGGCGGCUCUCUGGGGCUGUUCUGACGCUGAGGCGCGAAAGCUGGGGGAGCGAACAGGAUUAGAUACCCCCGGUAGU
rnacentral:rRNA from 1 species